rnacentral:rRNA from 1 species
UAGGGAAUCUUCGGCAAUGGACGAAAGUCUGACCGAGCAACGCCGCGUGAGUGAAGAAGUUUUUCGGAUCGUCAAACUCUGUUGUUAGAGAAGAACAAGGACGUUAGUAACUGAACGUCCCCUGACGUUCUCUAACCAGAAAGCCACGGCUAACUACGUGCCAGCAGCCGCCGUAAUACGUAGGUGGCAAGCGUUGUCCGGAUUUAUUGGGCGUAAAGCGAGCGCAGGCGGUUUCUUAAGUCUGAUGUGAAAGCCCCCGGCUCAACCGGGAGGGUCAUUGGAAACUGGGAGACUUGAGUGCAGAAGAGGAGAGUGGAAUUCCAUGUGUAGCGGUGAAAUGCGUAGAUAUAUGGAGGAACACCAGUGGCGAAGGCGGCUCUCUGGUCUGUAACUGACGCUGAGGCUCGAAAGCGUGGGGAGCAAACAGG